CCUACGGGCGGCAGCAGUGAGGAAUAUUGGUCAAUGGCCGAGAGGCUGAACCAGCCAAGUCGCGUGAGGGAAGACGGCCCUACGGGUUGUAAACCUCUUUUGUCGGGGAGCAAAGCGAACCACGUGUGGUUCAUUGAGAGUACCCGAAGAAAAAGCAUCGGCUAACUCCGGGCCAGCAGCCGCGGUAAUACGGAGGAUGCGAGGUGUAUCCGGAUUUAUUGGGUUUAAAGGGUGCGCAGGCGGGGGUGCAAGUCAGCGGUCAAAUUGCGGGGCUCAACCCCGUACUGCCGUUGAAACUGCAUCCCUUGAGUGCGCGAGAAGUAUGCGGAAUGCGUGGUGUAGCGGUGAAAUGCAUAGAUAUCACGCAGAACUCCGAUUGCGAAGGCAGCAUACCGGCGCGCAACUGACGCUCAUGCACGAAAGCGUGGGUAUCGAACAGGAUUAGAUACCCCUGUAGUC
rnacentral:rRNA from 1 species